rnacentral:rRNA from 1 species
UACGGAGGGUGCGAGCGUUGUCCGGAAUCACUGGGCGUAAAGGGUGCGUAGGCGGCCUUGUAAGUCAGUGGUGAAAUACUCCAGCUUAACUGGAGGGGUGCCAAUGAUACUGCAGGGCUUGAGUACAGAUGAGGUAGGCGGAAUUGACGGUGUAGCGGUGAAAUGCAUAGAUAUCGUCAAGAACACCGAUAGCGAAGGCAGCUUACUGGGCUGUAACUGACGCUGAGGCACGAAAGUGUGGGGAUCAAACAGG